CAGUGAGCGAGAUGCACUAUUGAUCCAGCCUCCAGCCUGUGAUACAUCAAGACUCAGUCUCAAAAAAAAAAAAAAAAAAAAAACAGAAAGAAGGGAGAAAGAGAUUAAUUAUUUAAUUUGGAGUGGGAAAAUCAGAUUUAACUACUAAUUAUUUCUUGUUAUUUAAAAAGGAGUUUGUGAUUAUGCCAUUGUAAAGUGCUCUAUAUAAGCAUACUUGAUCAAUAUCAUGAUGCUAUUCACACUGGGCAAGCUGGUCACAUUUAUAUUGCUGUGGAUGGUAACUUAGACAUUUUCACUCUGCUGUGUUCAUCAUUCCUUACAGGUAUGCAGAUCAGUGAGAAGACCUCAGUUUUUAUCACUCAAUUGCUUGGAACUGUAAACUUUGAGAACAUGGAUACUUUCUAUAGAAGAGGGAUUUCUUAUUUUGGAACUCUUAAAUUUUCGGAUCCCAAUAAUGUACCUAUGGUGAACAAGUUGUUGCAACUGGAGCUCAGUGAUGAAUUUAUAGGAAAUUACACUACAGAUGAGAAUGGCGAAGCUCAAUUUUCCAUUGACACUUCAGACAUAUUUGAUCCAGAGUUCAACCUAAAAGCCACAUAUGUUCGACCUAAGAGCUGCUAUCUUCCCAGCUGGUUGACGCCUCAGUACUUGGAUGCUCACUUCUUAGUCUCACGCUUUUACUCCUGAACCAACAGCUUCCUGAAGAUUGUUCCAGAACCAAAGCAGCUUGAAUGUAAUCAACAGAAGGUUGUUACUGUGCAUUACUCCCUAAACAGUGAAGCAUAUGAGGAUGAUUCCAAUGUAAAGUUCUUCUAUUUGGUGAGUCUCAGUCAGUGGGUUCCUGGAAUCCUGUUCAAUUGCACGUCUGCUUAGCCCAGCACAGCU
rnacentral:lncRNA from 1 species